rnacentral:rRNA from 1 species
AGAACGAACGCUGGCGGCAGGCUUAACACAUGCAAGUCGAACGAUGUAGCAAUACAUAGUGGCGCACGGGUGAGUAACACGUGGGAACGUGCCCUUCAGUCCGGAAUAACUACUGGAAACGGUAGCUAAAACCGGAUAUUCCCUCCGGGGGAAAGUUUACGCUGAAGGAUCGGCCCGCGUUAGAUUAGGUAGUUGGUGGGGUAAUGGCCUACCAAGCCUACGAUCUAUAGCUGGUCUGAGAGGACGACCAGCCACACUGGAACUGAGACACGGUCCAGACUCCUACGGGAGGCAGCAGUGGGGAAUAUUGGACAAUGGGCGAAAGCCUGAUCCAGCCAUGCCGCGUGAGUGAUGAAGGCCUUAGGGUUGUAAAAGCUCUUUUAUCAGGGAAGAUAAUGACGGUACCUGAAGAUAAGCACCGGCUAACUUCGUGCCAGCAGCCGC